rnacentral:rRNA from 1 species
GACAAACGCUGGCGGCAUGCCUAACACAUGCAAGUCGAACGGACAGAACAGGGAAGCUUUUCGGAGUGGAACUGGAAAGUUAGUGGCGGAUGGGUGAGUAACGCGUGGACAACCUACCUUGUAAAGGGGAAUAACCUCGAGAAAUCGAAGCUAAUACCCCAUAAUAACCUUGCUUCGCAUGAAGUAAGGAGGAAAGGCGGCCUUAGCGCUGUCGAUACACGAUGGGUCCGCGUCUGAUUAGCUAGUUGGUGAGGUAAAGGCUCACCAAGGCGACGAUCAGUAGCCGGCCUGAGAGGGUGAACGGCCACAUUGGGACUGAGACACGGCCCAAACUACUACGGGAGGCAGCAGUGGGGAAUCUUCCGCAAUGGGCGAAAGCCUGACGGAGCAAUGCCGCGUGAGUGAAGAAGGCCUUCGGGUUGUAAAACUCUGUCCUUAUCGAAGAGAGAGUGUUGUAGUAACUGACAAUACUAGGACGGUAGAUGAGGAGGAAGACCCGGCUAACUAUGUG